AGUGAACGCUGGCGGCAGGCCUAACACAUGCAAGUCGAGCGGCAGCACAGUAAGAUCUUGCCCUUACGGUUGGCGAGUGGCGGACGGGUGAGGCAUACAUAGGAUUCCUCUUUUUCGUGGGGGAUAUCGUGGGGCCACUGAUGCUAAUACCUAAUAUGUUCUACGGGAUGAAGCAAUAGUGCUUGAGAGUUUUCGUGUCACAUAGAGCCGGUUCCGGGCCGCAUUAGCUAGUUGGUAAGGUAACGGCUUACCAAGGCGACGAUGCGUAGCCGAUCUGAGAGGAUGAUCAGCCACACUGGAACUGAGACACGGUCCAGACUCCUACGGGAGGCAGCAGUGGGGAAUAUUCGACAAUGGGCGCAAGCCUGAUGCAGCCAUGCCGCGUGAGUGAAGAAGGUCUUCGGAUUGUAAAGCCCUUUUGUUGGGAAAGAAAAGAAGCAGGUGAAUCUCCCGCUGUUCUGACGGUACCCAAAGAAUAAGCACCGGCUAACUUCGUG
rnacentral:rRNA from 1 species